ensembl:lncRNA
UCACUGCCGGCUGACUGCAUUGAACUCCAGGGCUCUUCAUCCUCUGUCACAACAUACGACAACCAACUGUUGGUACCCUGCAUCCACUGCAUGGGCACAGCAUUCAUCGUCAGUGACACAGAAGGCGGUACUGCAACCCCUGCAGGGACACUGCUUCCAGCUGAUGUGGAAAUGCAGGCAUACUGAAAUCACUGCAUCCACUGCAUGUUCAGAGCAUGCACAUUCAUGGACACAGCAGGGUGCACUGCAAUCACUGCCGGAUCACUGCAUCCACCCUCAUGGGCACUGCAUCCUCCAUCACAACCUACUGCAUGCACCUUGUUGGACACUGUAUCCAAUGCCUGGGCACUACAUCCACUUUCUCGGAUGAUGCAUUGGGCACUGCACCCACAGCAGGGACACUGCAUACAGCUGAAGUUGCCCUGCAUGUGCACUGCAAUCACUGAAUGUUCAGUGCAUCCACUGGUUGUUCACUGCCUCCACAUUCAGGGACAGUGCAGUAUACAUGGAAACCACUGAAGGAUGACUGCAUCCACCUUCAUGGGCACCGCAUCCUAUGUCACAACAUACUGCAUCGAACUUUUGUGUCACUGCAUACACUGCCUGCGAACUGCAUCCACAUUCCCAGACAAUGCAGGCAGCACUGCAAUGACUGCAGGGACAAUGUAUGCAGCUGAGGCGGAACUGCAGGUUGACCGCAAUCACUGAAUGUUCACUGCAUCCACUUCAUGUUCACUGCAUCCACAUUCAGGGAAACUACAGAGUGUAUGGGAAACCACUGCAGGAUCACUACAUCCACCUCAAUGGGCACUGCAUCCUCUGUCACAACAUACUGCAUCUACCUUCAGUGACACUACAGCCAUUGCAUGGGCACUGCAACCACGUUCUGGGAUAGGGCAACAGGCACUGCAACCACUGCAGGGACUCUGGAUCCAGCUGAAGUGGCACUACAGGCACACUGCAAUCACUGCAGGAUCACUGCAUCUGACUUCAUGGGCACUGCAUCCUCCAUCACAACAUACUUCAUCACUGCAUGAGCACUGCAUCCAAAUUCAGGGACAGUGCAAGUUGCACUGCAGCGACUGCAGGGACAAUACAUCCAGUGAAGUGGCGCUGCAUGCGCACUGCACCCACUGCAGGAUCACUGCAUCUGCCUUCAUGGUCACUGAAUCCUCCAUCACAACAUACAUCAUCACUGCAUGAGCACUCAAUCCACAUUCAGGGACACUGCAUCCAGAUGAAUUGACACUGCAGGUGCACUGCAAUGAAUGCAGGAUCACUGCAUCCUCCUUCAUGGGUACUGCAUCCUACUUCACAACAGACUGCAUCCAACUUUGGUCAUACUGCAGAGGCUGCAUGGGCCCUGCAUCCAAAAUCUCAGAAACGACAGUGGGCUCUGCAACGACAGCAGCAACACUGCAUUCAGCUGAAGUGGCACUGCAGGUUCCCUGCAAUCACUGAAUAUUCAGUGCAUCCACUGCUUGUCCACUGCAUCCACAUUCAGGGACACUGCAGUGUGCACGGAAACCACUGCAGACACACUGCAUCCACCUUCAUGUGCACUGCAUCCUCUGUCACAACAUACUGCAUCCAACUUGUGUAACACUGCAUACACUGCCUGGGCACUGAAUCCACAUUCACGGAAUCUGAAGGGGGCACUGCAACAACUGCAGGAUCACCGCAUCCACCUUCAGGGGCACUGCAUCCUCCAUUACAACAUACUUCAUCUGCAUUGUGGGACACUUCAUCCACUGCAUGGGCACUGCAUCCAGAAUCAGGGACACAGAAGGGGGAUCGACAACCAGUGCAGGAACACUGCAUGCACCUUCAUGGGCACUGCAUCCUUGGUCACAACAUACUGCAUCUACCUACAGUGACAAUGCAGCCAUUGCAUGGGCACUGCAGCCACGUUCAGGCACAGGGGAACAGGCACUUCAACCACUGCAGAAACUCUGGAUCUAGCUGAAGUGGCACUGCAGGCACACUGCAAUCAGUGCAGGAUCAGUGCAUCUGCCUUCAAAGGCACUGCAUCCUCCAUCACAACAUACUUCAUCACUGCAUGAGCAUUGCAUCCAAAUUCAGGGAAAGUGCAAGUUGCACUGCAGCGACUGCAGGGACACUACAUCCAGUGAAGUGGCACUGCAUGCACACUGCAACAACUGCAGGAUCACUGCAUCUGCCUUCAUGGGCACUGAAUCCUCCAUCACAACAUACAUCAUCACUGCAUGAGCACUCAAUCCACAUUCAGGGACACUGCAUCCAGAUGAAUUGACACUGCAGGUGCACUGCAAUGAAUGCAGGAUCACUGCAUCCUCCUUCAUAGGUACUGCAUCCUACUUCACAACAUACUGGAUCCACCUUGGCUCACACUGCAGAGGCUGCAUGGGUCCUGCAUCCACAUUCAGAGACACAGCAGUCAGCUCUGCAACCACUUCAGCAACACUGCAUUCAGCUGAAGUGGCAAUGUAGGUGCACUACAAUCACUGUUCAGUGCAUUUACUGCUUGUUCACUGCAUCCACAAGCAGGGACACUGCAGUGUGCGUGGAAACCACUGCAGGAUUACUGCAUCCACCUUCAUGUGCACUGCAUCCUCUGUGACAACAUACUGCAUCCAACUUGUGAGACACUACAUACACUGCCUGGGCACUGCAUCCACAUUCCCGGACAAUUCAGGGAGCACUGGAACCACUGCAGGGACACUGUAUGCAGCUGAAGUGGCACUGCAGGUGCACCUCAAUCACUGAAUGUUCACUGCAUCUACUUCAUAUUCACUGCAUCCACAUUCAGGGACACUGCAUUUUGCAGGGAAACCCCUGCAGGAUCACUUCACCCACCUUCAUGUGCACUGCAUCCUCUGUCACAACAUACUGCAUCCAACAUGUGUGACACUGCAUACACUGCUUGGGCAUCGCAUCUGCAUUCCCAGAUAAUGCAGGCAGCACUGCAACCACUGCAGGGACACUGAAUGCAGUGGAAGAGGCACUGCAGGCGCACUGCCAUCACUGUAGUCUCUCUGCAUUCACUAUCAUGGGCCCUGCAUCCUCAGUCACAACAUAUUGCAUCCACAUUGUGCGACAGUGCAUCCACUGCAUGGGCACUGCAUCCACAUUCAGAGACACUGCAGUGGGCUCUGCAACCACUGCAGGAACACUGCAUUCAGCUGAGGUGGCACUGCAUGUGCACUGCAAUCAGUGAAUGUUCAGUGCAUCCACUGCUUGUUCACUGCAUACACAUUCAGGGACACUGCAGUGUGCAUGGAAACCACUGCAGGAUCACUGCAUCCACCUUCAUGGUCACUGCAUCCUCUGUCACAACAUACUGCAUCCAACUUUUGUGACACUGCAUACACUGCCAGGACACUGCAUCCACAUUCCUGGACAAUGCUGACAGCACUGCAACCACUGCAGGCACACUGUAUGCAGCUGAAGUGGCACUGCAGGUGCACUGCAAUCACUGCAGUAUCACUACAUCUGCCUUCAUGGACACUGCAUCCUCCAUCACAACAUACUUCAUCACUGCAUGAGCACUGCAUGCAAAUUCAGGGACAGUGCAGUUUGCACUGCAGCAACUGCACGGACACUGCAUUAAGCUGAAGAGGCACUGCCUGCGCACUGCAACCACUGCAGGAUCACUGCAUCCACAUUCAUGGGCACUGCUUCCUCUGUCACAACAUACCACAUACAUCAUUUGGGACUCUGCAUCCAAUGCAUGGGCACUGCAUUCAUAUUCAGAGACACAGAAGGGGGCACUACAACCACUGCCGGCACACUGCAGCCAGCUCAAGUGGCAGUACAGGUUCACUGCAAUCACUGCAGAAUCACUGCAUCCUCCUUCAUGGGCAAUGCAUCAUCCGUCAUAACAUACUGCAUCCACCUUUUGGGACACUGAAUCCACUGCAAGGGCACGGCAUUCUCAUUCAGGGAUGCUGCGGGGGCACUGCAACCACUGCAGGAUCACUGCAUCCACCUUCAUGGGCACUGCAUCCUCCAUCACAACACACUGCAUCUACCUUCAGUGACACUGCAGUCAUUGCAUGGGUACUGCAUCCACGUUCAGGGACAGUGCAACAGGCACGGCAACCCCUGCAGGGACUCUGGAUCCUUCUGAAGUGGCACUGCAUGUGCACUGCCAUUACUGCAGGAUCACUGCAUUCACCUUCAUUGGCACUGUGUACUACAGCACACCACAAUGUCUCCACAUUGUGGGAGACUGGAUCCACUGCAUGAGCUCAGGAUCCACAUUCCAGGACAAUGCAGGGGGCAUUGAAACCACUGCAGGGACACUACAUCCAGCUGACCUGGCACAGAAGGUGUACUGCAGUCAUGGUCAGCUCACUGCAUCCAACUCGUGGGCACUGCAACCUCUGUCAUAAUAUAGGACAACCAACUUUUGGUACUCUGCAUCCACUGCAUGGGCACUUCAUCCACAUUCAGGGACACAGAACAGGGCACUGCAACCACUGCAGGGACACUGCAGCCUGCUGAAGUGGCACUGCAGGUGCACUGCAAUGACUGCAGGAUCACUGCAUCCUUCUUCAUGAUCACUGAAUCGUCCAUCACAACAUAAGGCAUCCACCUUGAGGGACACUGCAUCGAAUGCAUGAGCACUGCAUCCACCUUCAGGUAAACUGCAGGGGGCACUGCAAACGCUGCAGGAUCACUGCAUCCACCUUGAUGGGUACUGCAUGCUCUGUCACAACAUACUGCGUGCACAUUGUGGGAAACUUCAUCCACUGCAUGGGCACUGCAUCCACGUUCAGGGACACUGAAGUUGGCUCAGCAACCACUGCAUCCAGCUGAAGUGGCACUGCAGGCGCACUGCAAUCACUGCAGGCUCACUGCAUCAACCCUUGUGGGCACUGCCUCCGUCACAACAUACGGCAUCCACCUAGUAUGACACUGCAUGAACUACAUGAGCACUGCAUCCAAAUUCAGGGAAACUGUAGGGGACACUGCAACCACUGCAGGUUCACCGCAUCCACCUUCAUUGGCAGUGCAUCCUCCGAGAAAACAUACUGCAUCCGCCUUGUGAGAUAAUGCAUCCACUGCAUGACCACUGCAUCCAAAUUCCAGGACAAUGAUGGGGGCACUGCAACCACUGCAGGGACAUUACAUCCACCUUCAUGGACACUGCAUCCUCUGUCACAACAUACUUCAUCCACCUUGGGUCACACUGCAGACACUGCAUGGGCACUGCAUCCACAUUCAGGGACAUGACCGGGGGCUUUGAAACCACUGUCUCUACACUGAGUUGAGCUGAAGUGGCAAUGCAGGUGUACUGCAAUGAGUGAAGUUUCACUGCAUCCACUGCAUGGCACUGCAUCCACAUUCCAGGACACUCCCAGGGGCACUGCAACCACUGCAGGGACACAGCAUCGACCUUCAUGGGCACUGCAUCCUCUGACAAAACAUAUUGCAUCUGCCUUGUGAGACACUGCAUGCCCUUCAUGACCACUGCAUCCAUAUUCCAGGACAAUGCCAGUGGCACUGCAACCACUGCAGGGACACUGCAUCCACCUUCCUGGGCACUGCAUCCUCUGUCAGAACAUACUGCAUAAACCUAUAGGUACACUGAAUGCACUGCAUGGACAGUGCAUCCACAAUCCCGGACACUGCAUGGCGUACUGCAACCACUGCAGGGACACUGCAUCCAGAUGAAGUGGCACUGCAGGUGCACUGCAAUGACUGCAGGAUCACUGCAUCUUCCUUCACGGGCACUGAAACCUACUUCACAAGAUACUGCAUCCACCAUGGGUCACACUGCAGACACUGCAUAAGCACUGAAACCACAUUCAGGGAAACUGUAGGGGGCACUGCAACGACUGUAGGUUCACCACAUCCACCUUCAUGGGCACUGUAUCUUCCAUCACAACAUACGACAGCCACCUUGUGGGUCACUGCAUCCACUGCCUGGGCACUGCAUCCACAAUCCUGGACAAUGCAGGGGUCUCUGCAACCACUGCAGUAAUGCUGCAUCCAGCUGAAGUGGCGCUGUAGGUGCACUGAAGUCACUGAACUUUCACUGCAUCCACUACCUUGGCACUGUAUCAACUGUAACUACUACAGGGACACUGCAUCUACAUUCAUGGGUACUGUAUCAUACUUCACAACAUACUGCAUCCACCGUGGGUCACACUGCAGACAUUGCAUGGGCAAUGCAUCCACAUUCAGGGAAAAUGCCGUGGGCACUGCCACCACUGCAGGGACACUGCAUCCACCUUCAUGAGCACUGAAUCCUCUUUCACAACAUACUGCAUAAACCUUUGGGGACACUGCAUGGACACUGCAUUCACCUUCCGGGGCACAGAAGGUGGCACUGCAACCACUGCAGUGACACUGCAUCCAACGGAGGUGGCACUGCAGGUGCACUGCAAUCACUGCAGUCUCACUGCAUCUACCUUUGUUGGCACUGCAUCAUCCAUCACCACAUACGACCUCCACCUUGUGGGACACUGCAACUACUGCCUGGGCACUGCAUCCACAUUCAGGGAACUGUAGGGGGCACUGCAUCCACUGCAGCAUCACUGAACCCACCUUCACGGCCCUGCAUCCUCCAUCAAAACAUGCUGCAUCCCCUUGUGGGACACUGCAUCCACUGCAUGAAUUCUGCAUCCACAUUCCUGGACAAUGCGGGGGGCACUGCAAACACUGCAGGGACACUGCAUCCAACUUCAUGAGAACUGCAUCAUCCAUCACAACAUACUGCAACCACCUUGUGGCACACUGCAUCCACUGCCUGGCCACUGCAUUCACAAUGCUGGACAAUGCAGGGUCACUGCAACCACUGUAGCAAUGCUGCAUCCAGCUGAAGUGGCACAGUAGGCACACUGCCAUCAGUGCAGAAUCACUGCAUUCACCUUCAUCAGCACUGCAUACUACAACACACGACAAUGAGUCCACAUUGCAGACACUGCAUCCACUGCAUGUGCACGGCAUCCACAUUCCAGGACAGUGCCGGGGGCACUGCAACCUCUGCAGGUAGAAUGCAUCCAUCUUCAUGGGCACUGCAUCCUCUGGCACAACAUACUGCAUAAACCUUUAGGUACACUGCAUCCACUGCAUGGGCACUGCAUGCACAUCCAGGACAAGGCAAGGGGCAUUGCAACCACUGCAGGGACACUGGAUCCAGCUGAAGUGGCACUGAAGGUGUACUGCAAUCACUGCCAGCUCAUUGCAUCCAACAUGUGGGCACUGCAUUCUCUGUGAAAAGAUACGGAAACCAAAUUUUGGUACUCUGCACCCACUGCUUGGGCUCUGCAUCCACUUUCAGGGACACAGAACAGGGCACUGCAACCACUGCAGGGACAAUGCAGCCAGAUGAAGUGGCACUGCAGGUGCACUGCAAUGACUCCAGGAUCACUGCAUCCUCCUUCAUUAUCACUGAAUCUUCCAUCACAACAUAAGGCAUCCACGUUGAGGGACAGUGCAUCCACUGCAUGAGCAGUGCACCCACAUUCAGGUACACUGCAGAGGGCACUCCAACCACUGCAGGAUCACUGGAUCCAUCUUCAUGGCCACUGCAUCAUACAUCACAACAUAGUGCAUGCACAUUUUGGGACACUGCAUCCACGGCAUGGGCACUGCAUCCAUGUUCAGGGACACUGCAGUUGGCUCGGCAACCACUGCAGCAACACUGCAUCCAGCUGAAGUGGCACUACAGGCGCACUGCAAUGACUGCAGGCUCACUGCAUCCACCUUCGUGGGCUCUACAUACUCCGUCACAACAUACAGCAUCCACCUUUAGGUACACUGCAUCCAAUGCAUGGGAAAAGCAUCCACAUUCAGGGAAACUGUAGGGGGCACUGCAACCACUGCAUGGGCACUGCAUCCACAUUUAAGGACAAUGCAGGGGCACUGCAACCACUGCAGGGCCACUGCAUCCAGCUGAAGUGGCACUGAGGUGCACUGCAAUGAUUAAAGGAUUACUGAAUCGUCCUUCAUGGGCACUGAAUCCAACUUCACAACAUACUGCAUCUACCUUGACUCACACUGCAGAUGCUGCUUGAGCACAGCAUCCACAUUCAGGGACAUGGCAGGAGGCUCUGCAAAGACUGCAGCUACACUGCAUUGAGCUGAAGUGGCACUGCCGGCGCACUGCAAUCACUGAAGUUUCACUGCAUUCACUGCAUUGGCGCUGCAUCAACAUUUCAGGACACCGCGGGGCACUGCAACCACUGCAGGGCCACUGGAUUCUCCUUGAUGGACACUGCAUCCUCCGUCACAAUAUACUGCAUCCACAUUGUGGGACACUGCAACCAAUGGAUGACCACAGCAUCCACAUUACAGGACAAUUCAGGGGCUCUGCACCCACUGCAGGGACACUGCAUCCACCUUCGUGGGCACUGCAUCCUCCAACUCAACCUACUGCAUAAACCUUUAGGUACACUGCAUCGGCACUGCAUUCACCUUCAGGGACACAGAAGUCGUCACUGCAACCACUGCAGGGACACUGCUUCCAGCCGAUGUAGAAAUGCAGGCACACAACAAUCACUGCAGGAUCACUGCAUCCUUGCAUGUUCAGAGCAUGCACAUUCAGAAACAUAGCAGGGUGCAAAGCAACUGCUGCCGGAUCACUGCAUCCACCCUCAUGGGCACUGCAUCCUCCAUCACAACAUACUGCAUGCACCUUGUGGGACACUGCAUCCAAUGCCUGGGCACUGCAUCCACGUUCUCGGACAAUGCAGUCGGCACUGCAACCACUGCAGGGACACUGAAUACAGCUGAAGUCGCACAGCAUGAGCAUUGCAUUCCAGACAGGCUCCAUGCGUCCACAUCCGUGGGCACUGCCUCUUCCAUCACAUCAUAUGACAUCCACCUUGUGGGACACUGCAACUACUGCAUGCUCACUGCAUCCACAUUCAUGGAACUGUACGGGGCACUGCAACCACUGCAGUAAAACUGCAUCCACCUUGAUGGGCUCUGCAUCCUCCAUCAAAACAUACUGCAUGCAGCUUGUGGACACUGCAUCCACUGCAUGACUACUGCAUCCACAUUCCCGGACAAUGUGGGGGGCACUGCAAGCACUGCAGGGACUCUGAAUACAGCUGAAGUCGCACUGCAGGCUCACUGCAUACAGCACAGGCUCAGUGCAUACACCUCCGUGGGCACUGCAUCUUCCAACACAACAUACGACAUCCACCUUGUGUGACACUGCAACUACUGCAUGGGCACUGCGUGCACGAUCAGGAAACUAUAGGGGGCACUGCAACCACUGAAGCAUUACUGCAUCCACCUUCAUGGGCCCUGAAUCCUCCAUCACAACAUACUGCAUCCACCUGUGGGACACUGCAUCCACUGCCUGGGCUCUGCAUCCACAUUCCCGAACAAUGCUGGGGGCACGGCAACCACUGCAGCAACACUGCAUCCAGCUGAAGUGGCACUGAAGGCGUACUGCAAUCAAUGCUGGCUCACAGCAUUCAACUCCAGGGCUCUGCAUCCUCUGUCACAACAUACGGCAGCCAACUUUGGGUACUCUGCAUCCACUGCAUGGGCACUGCAUCCAAACUCAGGGACACAGGCUGGGGCACUGAAACCACUGCAGGGACACUGCAGCCAGCUGAAGUGGUACUGGCAGUUCACUGCAAUGACUGCAGGAUCACUGCAUCCUACUUCAUGAUCACUGAAUCCUCCAAUGUAUCAUAAGGCAUCCACCUUGAGGGAAACAACAUACACUGCAUGAGCAGUGCAUCCAAUUUCAGGUAAACUGCAGGGGUCACUGCAACCACUGCAGGAUCACUGCAUCCACCUUCAUGGGUACUGCAUCCUCUGUCACAACAUACUGCAUGCACAUGUUGGGACACUGCAUCCACUGCACGGGGACUGCAUCCACGUUGAGGGACACUGGUGUUGGCUCUGCAACCACUGCAGCAACACUGCAUCCAGCUGAAGUGGCACUGCAAUCAGUUCAGGCUCACUGCAUCCACCUUUGUGGUCACUGCAUCCUCCGUCACAGCAUACCGCAUCCACCUUGUGGGACACUGCAACUACUGCGUGGGCACUGCAUCCACAUUCAUUGAACUGUAGGGGUCACUGCAACCACUGCAGCACCACAGCAUCCACCUUCAUGGGUCCUGCAUCCUCCAUCACAACAUACUGCAUCCACAUGUUGGGACACUGCAUCCGCUGCCUGGGCAUUGCAUCCACAAUCCUGGACAAUGCACGGGGCACUGCAACCACUGCAGCAACACUUCAUCCAGCUGAAGUGGCACUGCUGGCGCACUGCAAUCACUGCAGGCUUACUGCAUACACCUUCAUUGGCACUGCAUCCUCUGCCACAUCAUACCGCAUCCACUUUGUGGGACACUGCAUGCAGUGCAUGGGCAUGCAUCCACAUUCUGGGAAACUGUAGGGGGCACUGCAACCACUGCAGUUUCACUGCAUCCACCUUCAUGAGAAAUGCAUCAUCGGUCACAACAUACUGCAUAAAACUUUAGGUACACUGCCUUCACUGCAUGGGAAUUGAAUUCACCUUCCAGGACACAGAAGGCUGUACUGCAACCACUGCAGCAACACCGCUUCCCAGAUGAUGAGGAAAUGCAGGCACACUGCACUCACUGCAGGAUCACUGCAUCCAAUGCAUGUUCACAGCAUCCCCAUUCUGUGAAACAGCAGUAUGCAUUGCAACCACUGCAGGGACACUACAUCCAGAUGAAGUGGCACUGCAGGUGCACUGCAAUGACUGCAGGAUCACUGCAUUGUCCUUCAUGGGCACUGAAUCUUGCUUCACAACAUACUGCAUCCAACUUUAGUCACACUGAAGACACUGCAUAGGCACAGCAUCCACAUUCAGGGACAUGGCACAGGGCUCAGCAACCACUCCAGCUACACUGCAUCCAGCUGAAGUGGCACUGCAGGCACACAGCAAUCACUGAAGACUCACUGCAUCCACUCAUAGGCACUGCAUCAAGGUUUCAGGACAAUGCCAGGGGCACCGCAACCACUGGAGGGACACUGCAUCCACAUUCAUGUGCACUGCAUCCUCCAUCACAACAUACUGCAUAACCUCUAGGUACACUGCAUACACUGCUUGGGCACUACAUUCACCUUCAGGGACACAGAAGGUGGCACUGCCACCCCUGCAGGGACAUGGCUGCCAGCUGAUGUAGAAAUGCUGGUGCACCGCAAGCACUGCAGGAUCACUGCAACCACUGCAUGUACACAGCAUCCACAUUAAGGGACACAGCAGGGUGCACUGCAACCACUCCCGGAUCACUGCAUCCACCUUCAUGGGCACUGCAUCCUUCAUCACAAGAUACUGCAUGCACCUUGUGGGACACUGCAUCCAAAGCCUGGGCAUUGCAUUCACAUUCAGUGACAAUGCAGGGGGCACUGCAGCCACUGCAGAGACACUGCAUCCUGAUGAAGUGGCACUUCAGGUGCACUGCAAUCACUGCAUCCACCUUCAUGGGCACUGAAUCCUACUUCACAACAUACUGCAUCCACCUUGGGUCACACUGCAGACACUGCAUUGACACUGCAUCCACAUUCAGAGACAUGGCAAGGGGCUCUGCAACCACUGCAGGUACACUGCAUCCAGCUGAAGUGGCAGUGCAGGCAAGCUUAAAUCACUGAAGAUUCACUGCAUCCACUGAAUAGGUACUGCAUCAACAUUUCAGGACAAUGCUGGGGGUACUGCAACCACUGGAGGGACACUGCAUCCCCCUUCAUGGGCACUGCAUCCUCCGUCACACCCUACUGAAUCCACCUUGUGGGACAAUGCAUGCACUGCAUGGGAACUGCAUCCAAAUUAUGGGAAACUCUAGGGGGCACUGUCACCACUGCAGGCUCACCACAUCCACCUUCAUGGGCACUGCAUCCUCUGAGAAAACAUACUGCAUCCGCCUUGUGAGACACUGCAUCCACUGCAUGACACCAGCGUCCAAAUUCCAGGAUAAUGGCAGGGCACUUCAACCACUGCAGGGACACUGCAUUUUACCUUCAUGGGCACUGCAUCCUCCGUCACAACAUAUUGCAUAAACCUUUAGGUACACUGCCUCCUCUGCAUGGGCACUUCAUUCACCUUCAGGGACACAGUAGCUGGCACUGCAACCCCUGCAGCGACCUGGCUUCCAGCUGAUGUGGAAAUGCAGGUGCCCUCCAAUCACUGCAGGAUCACUGCAUCCACUGCAUGUUCACAGCAGCCACAUUCAGGGAAACAGCAGGGUGCACUGCAACCAUGGGAGGGACACUGCAGCCAGCUGAAGUGGCAAUGCAGGUGCACUGCAAUGACUGCAGGAUCACUGCAUCCCCUUUCAGGAUCACUGAAUCCUCCAUCACAAUUUAAGGCAUCCACCUUGAGGGACAUUGCAUCCACUCCAUGACCACUGCAUCAACAUGCAGGUAAACUGCAGGGGGCACUGCAACCACUGCAGGAUCACUGCAUCCACCUUUAUGGGCACUGCAUCAUCCAUCACAUGAUACUGCAUGCACAUUGUGGGAAACUGCAUUCAAUGGAUUGGCACUGCAUCCACGUUCAGGGAGACAGCAGUUGGCUCUGCAACCACUGCAGCAACACUUCAUACAGCUGAAGUGUCACUGCAGGCAUACUGCUAUCACUGCAGGCUCACUGCAUCCACCUUCGUGGGCACUGCAUCCUCCAUCAGAACAUAGCGCACCCACAUUGUUCGACGCUGCAUGCAAUGCAUGGGCUCUGCAUCCACAUUCAGGAAAACUGUAGGGGGCAGUGCAACCACUGCAGGUUCACUGCAUCCACCUUCAUGGGCACUGCAUCCUCUGACAAAACAUACUGCAUCUGCCUUGUGAGACACUGCAUCCACUGCAUGACCCAAACAUCCAUAUUGAAGGACAAUAACAGGGACACUGCAACCAUUGCAGAGACACUGCAUACACCUUCAUGGGCACUGCAUCCUCCGUAACAACAUACUGCAUAAACCUUUAGGUACACUGCAUCCACUGCAUGGGCACUGCAUUCACAUUCAGUGACACAGAAGGCUGCACUGCAACCCCUGGAGAGACACUGCUUGCAGCCGAUGUAGAAAUGUAGGCACACUGCAAUCACUGCAGGAUCACUGCAUCCACGGCAUGUUCACAGCAUCCACAUUUUGGGACACAGCAGGGUGCAGUGCAACCACUGCAGGAUCACCUCAUCCACAUUCAUGGGCAGUGCAUCCUCUGUCACAACAUACUGCAUGCACCUUGAGGGACACUGCACCCAAUGCCUGGGCACUGCAUCCACGUUCUGGGACAAUGCAAUUGGCACUGCAACCACUGCAGGGUCACUGUGUACAGCUGAGGUCUCACUGCUGGCACACUGCAUUCAGCACACGCUCACUGCAUCCACCUGCGUGUGCACUGCAUUUUCCAUCACAACAUAAGACAUCCACAUUGUGGGACACUGCAACUACUGCAUGAGCACUGCAUUCACAUUCAGGGAACUGUAGGGGGCACUGCAACCACUGCAUCAUCACUGCAUCCACCUUCGUGGGCCUUUCAUACUCCAUCACAACAUACUGCAUCCACCUUGUGGGACACUGCAUCCACUGCAUGACUACUGAAUCCACAUUCCCGGACAGUGUGGCAGGCACUGCAAGCACUGCAGGGACACUGGAUCCACCUUCAUGAGAACUGCAUCAUCCGUCAUAACAUACUGCAUCCACCUUGUGGGACACUGCAUCCACUGCCUAGGCACUGCAUCCACAUUCCUGGACAAUGCAGGGUGCACUGCAACCACUGCUGCAACACUGCAUCCAGCUGAAGUUGCACUGAAGGUGUACUGCACUCACAGUCUGUUCACUCCAUCCAACUCGUGGGUACUGCAUCCUCUGUCACAACAUAUUGUAACAAAUUUUGGUACGUGGCAUCCACUGCAUGUGCACUGUAUCCACACUCAGGGACAUAGAAAAGGGCACUGCUGCCACUUCAGAGACACUGCAGCCAGCUGAAGUGGCAAUGCAGUUGCACUGCAAUGACUGCAGGAUCACUGCAUCCUCCUUCAUGAUCACUGAAUCCUCCAUCACAACAUAAGUCAUCCACAUUGUGGGACACUGCAUCCACUGCAUGAGCACUGCAUCCACAUUCAGGUAAAAUGCAUGGGGCUCUGCAACCACUGCAGGAUCACUGCAUCCACCUUCAUGGGCACUGCAUCCUCCGUCACAACAUGCUACAUCUAACUUGUGGGACACUGCAUCCACUGCAUGACUACUGCAUCCACAUUCCUGGACAAUGCAGGGGGCACUGCAACCACUGCAGGGACACUGCAUCCACCUUCCUGACAACCACAUCACCCGUCAUAACAUACUGCAUCCACCUUGUGGGACACUGCAACCACUGCCUGGCCACUGGAUACACAUUCCCGGGAAAAUGCAGGGGUCACUGCAACCACUGCAGCAACACUGCAUCCAACUGAAGUGGCACUGCAGGUGCACUGCCAUCACUGCAUGAUCCCUGCAUUCACCUUCAUCAGCACUGCAUUCUACAACACACCACAAUGCUUCCACAUUGUCGGACACUGCAUCCAAUGCAUGAGCACUGCCUCCACAUUUUAGGACAAUGCAGGGGGCAUUGCAACCACUGCAGGGACACUGCAUCCAGCCGAAGUGGCACUGAAGGCGUACUGCCAUCACUGCUGGCUCACUGCCUCCAACUCGUGGGCACUGCAUCCUCUGUCACAACAUACAGAAACCAAAUUUUGGUACUCUGCAUCCACUGCAUGGGCCCUGCAUCCACAUUCAGGGACACAGAACAGGGCACUGCAACAAAUGCAGGGACACUGAAGCCAGCUGAAGGGGCACUGCAGAUGCACUGCAAUGAACGCAGGAUCACUGCAUCCUCAUCCAUGAUCACUGAAUCCUCCAUCACAACAUACUGCAUGCACAUUGAUGGACAAUGCAUCCACUGCAUGGGCACUGCAUCCACAUUCAGGGAAACAGUAUGGCACUGCAACCACUGCAGGUUCACCGCAUCCACCUUCAUGGGUACUGCAACCUCUGACAAAACAUACUGCAUCCUCCUUGUGAGACACUGCAUCCACUGCAUGACCCCUGCAUCCUCAUUACAGGAAAAAGCCAGGGGCACUGCAACCACUGCAUGGACAGGGCAUCCACAUUGUGGGACACAGAAGGGGGCACUGCAACCACUGCAGGGAAACUGCAUACAGCUGAAGUUGCACUGCAGGUGCACUGCAUUCAGCACAGGCUCACUGCAUCCACCUUCCUGGGCACUGCAUCUUCCUUCACAUCAUACAACAACCACCUUGUGGGACACUGCAACUACUGCAUGGACACUUCAUGCUCUUUCCAGGACACAGAACGGGGCACUGCAACCACCUCAGGGACACUGCAGCCAGCAGAAGUGGCACUGCAGGUACACUGCAAUGAUUGCAGUAUCACUGCAUCCUCCUUCAUGAGCACUGCAUCCUCCAUCACAACAUACAGCAUGCACAUUGUGGGAAACUGCAUCCACUGCAUGGGCAGUGCAUCCACGUUCAGUGACACCUACGUUGGAUCUGCAACCACUGCAUCAACACUGCAUCCAGUUGAAGGGGCACUCAAGGUGCACUGCACAUACUGCAGGCUCAUGUCAUCCACCUUCGUGGGCACUGCAUCCUCCGUCAAACAGACUGCAUCCACCUUGUGGGACACAGCAUGCACUGCAUGGGAACUGCAUCCACAUUCAGGGAAACUGCAGGUGGCUCUGAAACCACACACGUUCACUGCAUCCACCUUCAUGUGCAGUGCAUCCUCCCUCACAACAUACUGCAUGCACAUUGUGGGAGACUGCAUCCACUGCAUGGGCACUGCAUCCACGUUCAGGAAAACUGCAGGUGGCUCUGAAACCACUUCAGCAACACUGCAUCCAGCUGAAGUCGCACUGCAGGCUCACUGCAAUCACUGCCGGCUCACUGCAUCCACCUUCAUGGGACCUGCAUCUUCCAUCACAACAUACUGCAUCCACCUUGUGGGACACUGCAUCCACUGCAUGAGAAGUGCAUCCACAUUCAGGUAAACUGCACGUGGCACUGCAACCACUGCGGGAUCACUGCAUUCACCUGCAUGGGCACUGCAUCCUCCGUCACAACAUACUGCAUGCACUUCUGGGACACUGCAUCCAUUGCAUGGGCACUGCAUCCACAUUCAGGGAAACUGUAGGGGGCACUGCAACCACUGCAGGUUCACCGCUGCCACCUUCAUGGGCACUGCAUCCUCCGACAAAACAUACUGCAUUCUCCUUGGGAGACACUAAAUCCACUGCAUGACCACCGCAUCCACAUACCAGCACAAUGUCACAGUCAGUGCAAUCUCUGCAGGGACACUGCAUCCACCUUCAUGGGCCAUGCAUCCUCCAUCACAACAUACUGCAUAAACGUUUAGUUACACUGCAUGGGCACUGCAUUCACCUUCUAGGACACAGAAGGCAGCACUGCAACCCCUGCAGGGACAAUGCUUCCAGCUGAUGUGGAAAUGCAGGCGCACUGUAAUCACUGCAGGAUAACUGCAUCCCCUGCAUUUUCACACCAUCCACAUUCAGGGUCACAGCAGGUUGCACUCCAAAAACUGCCACAUCACUGCAUCCACCUUCAUGAGCACUGCAUCCUCCAUCACAACAUACUGCAUAAACCUUGUGGGACACUUCAUCCACUGCAUGGGCGCUGCAUCCAUGUUCUCGGACAAUGAAGUGGGCUCUGCACCCACUGCAGCCACACAGCAUCCAGCUGAAGUGGCACUGCAAGCGCACUGCUAUCUCUGUAGGCUCAGUGCGUCCACCUUCAUGGUCACUGCAUCUUCCAUCACAGCAUACAGCAUCCACAUUGUGGGAUACUGCAUGCACUGCUUGUGACUGCAUCUACAUUCAGGGAAAUUGUAGCGGGCACUGCAAUGACUGCAGGUUCACCGCAUCCACCUUCAUGGUCACUGCAUCCUCCGACAAAACAUACUGCAUCCGACUUGUGAGAAACUGCAUCCACUGCAUGACCACUGCAUCCACAUUCCACGACAAUGCCCGGGGCACUGCAACCACAGCCGUGACACAGCAUCCACCUUCAUGGGCAUUGCAUCCUCCAUCACAACAUACUGCAUGCACCUUGUGGGAUACUGCAUCCACUGCAGGACCACUGCAUCCACACUCAGGUAAACUGCAGGGGGCAGUGCACCCACUGCAGGAUCACUGCAUCCACCUUCAUGGGCAGUGCAUCCUCCAUCUCCACAUACUGCAUAAUCAUAUAGGUACACUGCAUCCACUGAAUGGGCAAUGCAUUCACCCUCAGCAGCAUGAAGACGGCAAUGCAACCCUUCAGGGACACAGCUUCCAGCUGAAGUGGAAAUGCAGGCGAACUCAAUCACGGAAGGAUUGCUGCAUCCACUGCAUGUUCACAGCAUCCACAUUCAGGGACACAGCAGCGUGCACAGCAACCACUGCCGGAUCACUGCAUCCACCUUCAUGGGCACUGCAUCCUCCGUCACAACAUACUGCAUCUACCUUCAGUGACACUGCAUCCAUUGUAUGGGCACAGCAGCCACGUUCAGGGACAGUGCAAAAGGCACUCCAACCACUGCAGGGACUCUGGUUCCAGCUGAAGUGGCACUGCAUACGCACUGCAAUCACUGCAUGAUCACUGCAUGUGCCGUCUUGGGCACUGCAUCCUCCAUCACAACAUACUUCAUCACUACAUGAGCACUGCAUCCAAAUUCAGGGACAGUGCAGGCUGCACUGCAGCGUCAGCAGGGACACUGCAUCCAGCGGAAGUGGCACUGCAAGCGCACUUCAAGCACUGCAGGAUCACUGCAUCCACAUUCAUGGGUACUGCAUACUACUUCACAACAUACUGCAUCCACCUUGGGUCACACUGCAGAGGCUGCAUGGGCCCUGCAUCCACAUUCAGAGACACAGCAGUGGGCUCUGCAACCACUGCAGCAACACUGCAUUCAUUUGAAGUGGCACUGCAGGUGCACUGCAAUCACUGUAUGUUCAGUGCAUCCACUGCUUGUUCACUGCAUCCACAUUCAGGGACACUGCAGUAUGUACGUAAACCACUGCAGGAUCACUGCAUCCACAUUCAUGUCACUGCUUCCUCUCUCAAAACAUACCACAUCCAUCUUUUGGUACUCUGCAUCCACUGACUGAGCACAGCAUUUGUAUUCAGAGACACAGAAGGGGGCACUGCAACCACUGCCGGCACACUCCAGCCGGCUCAAGUGGCACUGCAGGUGCACUGCAAUCACUGCAGAAUGACUGCAUCCUCCUUCAUGUGCAAUGCAUCAUCCGUCAUAACAUACUGGAUCCACCUUGUGGGGCACUGAAUCCACUCCAAGGGCAUGGCAUACUCAUUGAGGGACCCUGCAGGGGGCACUG